UGGGGAAUAUUGGACAAUGGGCGCAAGCCUGAUCCAGCCAUGCCGCGUGAGUGAUGAAGGCCCUAGGGUUGUAAAGCUCUUUCACCGGUGAAGAUAAUGACGGUAACCGGAGAAGAAGCCCCGGCUAACUUCGUGCCAGCAGCCGCGGUAAUACGAAGGGGGCUAGCGUUGUUCGGAUUUACUGGGCGUAAAGCGCACGUAGGCGGACUAUUAAGUCAGGGGUGAAAUCCCGGGGCUCAACCCCGGAACUGCCUUUGAUACUGGUAGUCUUGAGUUCGAGAGAGGUGAGUGGAAUUCCGAGUGUAGAGGUGAAAUUCGUAGAUAUUCGGAGGAACACCAGUGGCGAAGGCGGCUCACUGGCUCGAUACUGACGCUGAGGUGCGAAAGCGGGGGGAGCAAACAGG
rnacentral:rRNA from 1 species